UCUCCGUAGGUGAACCUGCGGAGGGAUCAUUACAGAGUUUAUGCCCUCCGGGUAGAUCUCCCACCCAUUGCUAUAACUACUCUCGUUGCUUUGGCGGGCCGCUGGGCCCUGCCCGGCCGCCGGCCCCGGCUGGCGCGUGCCCGCCAGAGACCUCACAAACUCUGAAUGUUAGUGUCGUCCGAGUAACUAUACAAUCGUUAAAACUUUCAACAACGGAUCUCUUGGUUCUGGCAUCGUGAAGAACGCAGC
rnacentral:misc_RNA from 1 species